GGACAGCACCAGGGUUGGUCAGAAGGCAGAGUGAGUGAGGGGGAAAUGUGGGCAAGAGCCUUUAUUGUGAAAGGGAAGGAAAGGG